UAGGGAAUCUUCGGCAAUGGACGAAAGUCUGACCGAGCAACGCCGCGUGAGUGAAGAAGGUUUUCGGAUCGUAAAACUCUGUUGUUAGAGAAGAACAAGGACGUUAGUAACUGAACGUCCCCUGACGGUAUCUAACCAGAAAGCCACGGCUAACUACGUGCCAGCAGCCGCGGUAAUACGUAGGUGGCAAGCGUUGUCCGGAUUUAUUGGGCGUAAAGCGAGCGCAGGCGGUUUCUUAAGUCUGAUGUGAAAGCCCCCGGCUCAACCGGGGAGGGUCAUUGGAAACUGGUGAACUUGGGUGCGGAAGAGGAGAGUGGAAUUCCAGGUGUAGCGGUGAAAUGCGUAAAUAUAUGGAGGAACACCAGUGGCGAAGGCGGCUCUCUGGUCUGUAACGGACGCUGAGGCUCGAAAGCGUGGGGAGCAAACAGG
rnacentral:rRNA from 1 species